rnacentral:rRNA from 1 species
UGAGGAAUAUUGGUCAAUGGGGGCAACCCUGAACCAGCCAAGUCGCGUGAAGGAUGAAGGUCUUAUGGAUUGUAAACUUCUUUUAUACAGGAAUAAAUUGGGGGACGUGUCCCCUUUUGCAUGUACUGUAUGAAUAAGGAUCGGCUAACUCCGUGCCAGCAGCCGCGGUAAUACGGAGGAUCCGAGCGUUAUCCGGAUUUAUUGGGUUUAAAGGGUGCGCAGGCGGGAUGUUAAGUCGGCGGUGAAAUUUUGCAGCUCAACUGUAAAAGUGCCUUCGAUACUGGCCUCCUUGAGUGUGGAUGAAGUAGGCGGAAUCUGUGGUGUAGCGGUGAAAUGCUUAGAUAUCACGAGGAACUCCGAUUGCGUAGGCAGCUUACUAAGCCAUAACUGACGCUCAAGCACGAAAGCGUGGGGAUCAAACA